AAGGGUUUUAAAUUUUAUAAUUUUAAUAGUCGAUAUGAGAUAUUUUCUCGUUUAACAGUGUAAAGAUAUCUAAAUUGAUUGAAUUUUGGUUAGAAAUUUUUUUUAACUAUUUAGAACAAGAUCUAUACUCUUGAUAUAGAUUACAAGAUUUUUAUUAUCACUUUUUAAAGAAUAUUCAUUUUCAACUGUUCAUUUUGUGUCCGCUUGAUGGAUAAGAGAACAAUAUCGAAAAAAUAUGAAAUUUGGUUUCUAAAUGCUUCAAGUGAUAUAAAUCAUGUUUAACGGUGCCGAUCGUCGAUUUUGAGACUCAUCAUAAAAAACAAAUGGAUGGUAACGAAGCCCAUUUGCUACUGAUAGCAUUCCAGCUCAACUUUAUAUAUAUGUAUAUAUAUGUAUACACGCGUGCGCGC
rnacentral:lncRNA from 1 species